rnacentral:rRNA from 1 species
UACGUAGGGUGCAAGCGUUGUCCGGAAUUAUUGGGCGUAAAGAGCUCGUAGGCGGUCUGUUGCGUCGGCUGUGAAAACCCCGGGGCUCAACCCCGGGCCUGCAGCCGAUACGGGCAGACUAGAGUUCGGCAGGGGAGACUGGAAUUCCUGGUGUAGCGGUGAAAUGCGCAGAUAUCAGGAGGAACACCGGUGGCGAAGGCGGGUCUCUGGGCCGAUACUGACGCUGAGGAGCGAAAGCGUGGGGAGCGAACAGG